AAUUGUAUUCAAAUUACGGUAAUGUAUGUUAUUCCUCGAAUCGUUCGUUGAGAGGUAUAAAGGAUUAAAUCCCUUUAAGUAAGAAAUAAAGUUUUUGAUCGUGAUAUGAAUCAUGCAAAGGACCCCUUAACUAUUAAGGGAUCUAUAGAACGAAUCACACUUUUAUCACUAAACUAUACCCGCUACAAUACAAUUACUGUAUAUAAAAGGAUCUUUUGUCGAACAAGGGAAUACGUCUUAAUUAUGCAAUAGGUGCAUAAUUUUACGAUAAUUAGAGUGUUGACGUGUUUCGUAAAGGGGCCCCCUAAUGAAAUUUAGAAAAGGGGGCGAAUCUUAUUUUUGGAUUUUCUUUUUGCUGAAGGUAU
rnacentral:lncRNA from 1 species